UAUUAUUAAUAACCUAUAAUAAGAAUUGGAAAAUACGAACAACUGUUUAAACACCAAAGAAUUUGGCGGUGUCUUACUCUAUUAGGGGAACCUGUCCUAUAAUUCGAUAAUCCACGUAUAAAUUACCUAAUUUACAAAUUCAGUUAGUGUACUGCCGUCUUAAGUAUACCUUUAUGAGAGUAUACCACAAAUUAUACAUUGAUAUUACGUCAGGUCAAAGUGCUACCUACAAUUAGGAUGGGAUGGGUUACAAUCUUUAUAUAGAUACAGAAUAAAAUAUGAAUAUAUUUUAUGAAGGUGGACUUAAUAGUAAUUAUAUAUAAUAUAAUGAAAAUCAUAAUAAGACAAGU
rnacentral:rRNA from 1 species